rnacentral:rRNA from 1 species
AUUGAACGCUGGCGGCAGGCCUAACACAUGCAAGUCGAACGGUAACAGGAAGCAGCUUCCUGCUUAGCUGACGGGUCGCGGGCGGGAGGGGUAUGUAUGGGACGCUGCCUGAUGGAGGGGGAGAACUACUGGAAACGGUAGCUAAUACAGCAUAAUGUCGCAAGAUCAAAGAGGGGGAACAUCAGGCCUCUUGCCAUCGCCUGUGCUCAGAUGGGAUUAGUUGGUGGGUGGGGUCACAGCUCGCCAAGGCGACGGUACCUAGCUGGUCUGAGAGGAUGACCAGCCACACUGGAACUGAGACACGGUCCAGACUCCAACGAGAGGCAGCAGUGGGGAAUAUUGCACAAUGGGCGCAAGCCUGAUGGAGCCAUGCCGCGUGUAUGAAGAAGGCCUUCGGGUUGUAAAGUACUUUCAGCGGGGAGGAAGGGAGUUAAGUUAAUACCUUUACUCAUUGACGUUACCCGCAGAAGAAGCGCCGGCUAACUCCGUG